rnacentral:rRNA from 1 species
AGACGUCUACAUUAGAUACCCCUGUAGUCCCAGCCCUAAACGAUGCGCGUUAGGUGUAUCGGUGACCACGAGUCACCGAGGUGCCGAAGGGAAACCGUGAAACGUGCCGCCUGGGAAGUACGGUCGCAAGGCUGAAACUUAAAGGAAUUGGCGGGGAGCACCACAACGGGUGGAGCCUGCGGUCUAAUUGGACUCAACGCCGGGAAGCUCACCGGAUAAGACAGCGGAAUGAUUGCCGGGCUGAAGACCCUGCAUGACCAGCUG